rnacentral:rRNA from 1 species
CCCUUAGAUGUUCUGGGCCGCACGCGCGCUACACUGAAGGGAUCAGCGUGUUUUCCCUUCCCGAGAGGGACGGGUAACCCGCUGAACCCCCUUCGUGGUAGGGAUCGGAGCUUGCAAUUGUUCUCCGUGAACCAGGAAUUCCCAGUAAGCGCAAGUCAUAAGCUUGCGUUGAUUACGUCCCUGCCCUUUGUGCACACCGCCCGUCGCUACUACCGAUUGAACGUUUUAGUGAGGUAUUUGGACUGGGCCUUGGGAGGUUUCGGCCUCCCUUGUUGCUCGGAAAGACUCCCAAACUUGAGCGUUUAGAGGAAGUAAAAGUCGUAACA